rnacentral:rRNA from 1 species
CCCUUAGAUGUUCUGGGCUGCACGCGCGCUACACUGACGCACGCAACAGGUGCCUGCUCCGAGAGGACUGGGUAAUCAUUUGAGUGUGCGUCGUGAUGGGGAUAGAAUAUUGUAAUUAUUACUCUUCAACGAGGAAUUCCUAGUAAGCGCCAGUCAGCAGCUUGCGCUGAUUACGUCCCUGCCCUUUGUACACACCGCCCGUCGCUCCUACCGAUUGAGUGGUCCGGUGAGGCUUUGGGAUCUGAGCGGAAAGAGCGUUUCGCUGUUUCUGCUCGGAAAACUCAGUCGAACCUUAUCAUUUAGAGGAAGGAGAAGUCGUAACA